rnacentral:rRNA from 1 species
CCUACGAGAGGCAGCAGUAGGGAAUAUUGCACAAUGGGGGAAACCCUGAUGCAGCGACGCCGCGUGGAGGAAGAAGUAUUUCGGUACGUAAAGCUCUAUCAGUAGGGAAGAAAAUGACGGUAACUGACUAAGAAGCCCCGGCUAACUACGUGCCAGCAGCCGCGGUAAUACGUAGGGGGCAAGCGUUAUCCGGAUUUACUGGGGGUAAAGUGAGCGUAGACGGGAGAGCAAGUCUGGAGUGAAAUCCGAUGGCUUAACCAUGGAACUGCAGUGGAAACUGUUCAGCGAGAGGACAGGAGAGGUAAGCGGAAUUCCUAGUGUAGCGGUGAAAUGCGUAGAUAUUAGGAGGAACACCAGUUGCGAAGGCGGCUUACUAGACUGUAACUGACGUUGAGGCUCGAAAGCGUGGGGAGCAAACAGGAUUAGAUACCCGAGUAGUC